GACAGAGGGUGCAAACGUUGCUCGGAAUCACUGGGCUUAAAGGGCGCGUAGGCGGGCCCGAAAGUCAGGGGUGAAAGCCCACGGCUCAACCGUGGAAGUGCCUCUGAUACUUCGGGCCUCGAGGGGGGUAGGGGCGUGCGGAACUUCCGGUGGAGCGGUGAAAUGCGUAGAUAUCGGAAGGAACGUCGGUGGCGAAAGCGGCGCGCUGGACCUCUUCUGACGCUGAGGCGCGAAAGCCAGGGGAGCGAACGGG
rnacentral:rRNA from 1 species